UGGGGAAUUUUGGACAAUGGGGGAAACCCUGAUCCAGCCAUCCCGCGUGUGCGAUGAAGGCCUUCGGGUUGUAAAGCACUUUUGGCAGGAAAGAAACGUCAUGGGUUAAUACCCCGUGAAACUGACGGUACCUGCAGAAUAAGCACCGGCUAACUACGUGCCAGCAGCCGCGGUAAUACGUAGGGUGCAAGCGUUAAUCGGAAUUACUGGGCGUAAAGCGUGCGCAGGCGGUUCGGAAAGAAAGAUGUGAAAUCCCAGAGCUCAACUUUGGAACUGCAUUUUUAACUACCGGGCUAGAGGGUGUCGGAGGGAGGUGGAAUUCCGCGUGUAGCAGUGAAAUGCGUAGAUAUGCGGAGGAACAGCGAUGGCGAAGGCAGCCUCCUGGGAUAACACUGACGCUCAUGCACGAAAGCGUGGGGAGAAAACAGG
rnacentral:rRNA from 1 species